rnacentral:rRNA from 1 species
AUUGAACGCUGGCGGCAGGCCUAACACAUGCAAGUCGAACGAGUGGCGGACGGGUGAGUAAUGUCUGGGAAACUGCCUGAUGGAGGGGGAUAACUACUGGAAACGGUAGCUAAUACCGCAUACCAUCGGAUGUGCCCAGAUGGGAUUAGCUAGUAGGUGGGGUAAAGGCUCACCUAGGCGACGAUCCCGAGCUGGUCUGAGAGGAUGACGAGACACACGGGAUGUGAGACACGGUCCAGACGCCUAGGGGAGACAGCAGUGGAGAAUAGUGCACGAUGGGCGAAAGCCUGAUGGAGACAUGGCGCGUGUAUGAAGAAGGCCUUCGGGUUGUAAAGUACUUUCAGCGGGGAGGCGUUACCCGCAGAAGAAGCACCGGCUAACUCCGUGCCAGCAGCCGCUAAUAC